rnacentral:RNase_P_RNA from 1 species
GAAAGUCCGGGCUUCACAGGGCAGGAUGCCGGAUAACGUCCGGCUGGGGUAACCCACGGGAAAGCGCAACAGAAAAGAACCGCCUGCGCAUGCAGGUAAGGGUGAAAAGGCAGUGUAAGAGACUACCGCCUGGUCAGUAAUGAGCAGGGCAUAUGCAAGCCCCAUCCGAAGCAAGGCUGAGACGGAGCGAUACGGCGGCCCGCCGUGCUCCAGGUAAGCCGCUCGAUCCGCCCGGCAACGGGCGGGCUAGACAGAUGACCGUACACGACAGAACCCGGCUUAUCGCUCUGCCG